rnacentral:rRNA from 1 species
AUGCAACGCUUGCAUGAAUCCCAUCAGGGUGGGCCCCGACCGACGCGUGACCAUCCGCUGGCUGCAUGGCUUCCACUACCAAGGCCACGCCAGGUGGCACCACCGCAAGCACCUCCAACGCGCUAUCAUGCCUUGGGUCCGCUGCCACCUGCUUGUCCACAAGCGACACGUCCGUCAUCGGGUUGGAUGGGCCUCCCCGCGGCGCCACAUGCAGAUUAUCUGCGCCAAUCGAGCACCCAAUAUACUCUCUCCCUUGGGAUCCCAGCUCCUCCACAUCGACUGCCACCUGCUCGAGGAUUGGCCCCACUUUUUCGAAGGCGACAGGAAUCUUUGGAGCUGUCACCUGCGGCCCCGCCAUCAGCGCACCAGACUGGACAGCCAUAG